rnacentral:rRNA from 1 species
UUUACGCUCCACCCGUUGUGGUGCUCCCCCGCCAAUUCCUUUAAGUUUCAGCCUUGCGGCCGUACUUCCCAGGUGGCUCGCUUCACGGCUUCCCUACGGCACCGACAACGGUCGCACCGUGGCCGACACCUAGCGAGUAUCGUUUACGGCUAGGACUACCCGGGUAUCUAAUCCGGUUCGUGCCCCUAGCUUUCGUCCCUUGCCGUCAGGUCCGAUUCUGGUGAGACGCCUUCGCCACUGGUGGUCCUUCAAGGAUUACAAGAUUUCACCCCUACCCCUGAAGUACCUCUCACCUCUCCCGGCCUCGAGCCGAACAGUAUCUCCUGAAAGCCCAACAGUUGAGCUGCUGGAUUUCUCAAGAGACUUAUCCGGCCGGCUACAGACCCUUUAGACCCAAUAAUAACGGUUACCACUCGAGCCGCCGGUGUUACCGCGGCGGCUGGCACGGUCUUGCCCGGCCCUUGCUAUGCAAUGCUUUUUAGGCAUCACGACAGCCAGAUUUGUAACCUGGCACUCGAGGUCCC